rnacentral:rRNA from 1 species
GACGAACGCUGGCGGCGUGCUUAACACAUGCAAGUCGAACGGAAAGGCCCUGCUUUUGUGGGGUGCUCGAGUGGCGAACGGGUGAGUAACACGUGAGUAACCUGCCCUUGACUUUGGGAUAACUUCAGGAAACUGGGGCUAAUACCGGAUAUGAGCUCCUGCUGCAUGGUGGGGGAUGGAAAGGUUCGGCGGUUGGGGAUGGACUCGCGGCUUAUCAGCUUGUUGGUGGGGUAGUGGCUUACCAAGGCUUUGACGGGUAGCCGGCCUGAGAGGGUGACCGGCCACAUUGGGACUGAGAUACGGCCCAGACUCCUACGGGAGGCAGCAGUGGGGAAUAUUGCACAAUGGGCGGAAGCCUGAUGCAGCAACGCCGCGUGCGGGAUGACGGCCUUCGGGUUGUAAACCGCUUUCGCCUGUGACGAAGCGUGAGUGACGGUAAUGGGUAAAGAAGCACCGGCUAACUACGUG